CAAAUACUCCUUCUGUACGGAAAUUCUUGUCUUAGUUGUCUAUAUAUGGAUGUAUAUAUUCACAUUUUAGUGUUAGAUACAUCCGUAUCUAGAUAAAUCUAAGACAAGAAUUUUGAGACAGAGGGAGUAUAAG
rfam:Triticum urartu cultivar G1812 contig1196804, whole genome shotgun sequence.